UGUUCUGUGGCGAAGUUGGGUAACGCACCCUGUCUGGCGAAUCGGGGAGAUGUGGGUUCAAAUCCUACCAGAUCUA
rnacentral:tRNA from 1 species